rnacentral:rRNA from 1 species
UACAGAGGUCUCAAGCGUUGUUCGGAUUCAUUGGGCGUAAAGGGUGCGUAGGCGGCCUUGUAAGUCAGUGGUGAAAGCCUCCAGCUCAACUGGAGAACUGCCAUUGAUACUGCAAGGCUUGAGUACAGACGAGGUUGGCGGAAUUGGAUUGUGUAGCGGUGAAAUGCAUAGAUACAAUCAAGAACUCCGAUUGCGUAGGCAGCUAACUAGGCUG